GAAGGCAAAGGCUUUGGAUUUGUAGAAAUGUCUUCUUCAGAAGAAGCUGGAAAAGCCAAAGAUGCGAUCCCUUUUCCCUUUU
rnacentral:tRNA from 1 species